rnacentral:rRNA from 1 species
GGAAUAUUGGACAAUGGGCGCAAGCCUGAUCCAGCCAUGCCGCGUGAGUGAUGAAGGCCUUAGGGUUGUAAAGCUCUUUCACCGAUGAAGAUAAUGACGGUAGUCGGAGAAGAAGCCCCGGCUAACUUCGUGCCAGCAGCCGCGGUAAUACGAAGGGGGCUAGCGUUGUUCGGAAUUACUGGGCGUAAAGCGCACGUAGGCGGAUAUUUAAGUCAGGGGUGAAAUCCCAGAGCUCAACUCUGGAACUGCCUUUGAUACUGGGUAUCUUGAGUAUGGAAGAGGUAAGUGGAAUUGCGAGUGUAGAGGUGAAAUUCGUAGAUAUUCGCAGGAACACCAGUGGCGAAGGCGGCUUACUGGUCCAUUACUGACGCUGAGGUGCGAAAGCGUGGGGAGCAAACAGG